AUAAACUUCAGUUAUUAGUAACAUAGUCUUGUCGUGGCUAUAAUUUAAAGUUUAUU
rnacentral:tRNA from 1 species